GAUGAACGCUGGCGGCGUGCCUAAUACAUGCAAGUCGAGCGAACAGACGAGGAGCUUGCUCCUCUGACGUUAGCGGCGGACGGGUGAGUAACACGUGGAUAACCUACCUAUAAGACUGGGAUAACUUCGGGAAACCGGAGCUAAUACCGGAUAAUAUAUUGAACCGCAUGGUUCAAUAGUGAAAGACGGUUUUGCUGUCACUUAUAGAUGGAUCCGCGCCGCAUUAGCUAGUUGGUAAGGUAACGGCUUACCAAGGCAACGAUGCGUAGCCGACCUGAGAGGGUGAUCGGCCACACUGGAACUGAGACAAGGUCCAGACUCCUACGGGAGGCAGCAGUAGGGAAUCUUCCGCAAUGGGCGAAAGCCUGACGGAGCAACGCCGCGUGAGUGAUGAAGGUCUUCGGAUCGUAAAACUCUGUUAUUAGGGAAGAACAAAUGUGUAAGUAAAUAUGCACGUCUUGACGGUACCUAAUCAGAAAGCCACGGCUAACUACGUG
rnacentral:rRNA from 1 species